CUGGCAGGAGAAGUCCUAUGGGAGGUCCCACAAGGCAAGAGAAAGCCGCUUCAAGAAUCAAAUACUGCUAAAAGGUCAAGGAAAAAGACACAAAGUAGACCUUGAACUCCAUAAUGUGCAAGUCCUUGGCAAACGUGGAAGAACUGCUCUGGUGGCAUGUGGUGAAGAUACGAGACUGACUGGAGCAGGCUCAAGACAGAAUGGAAGGAAAGAACAUAAAAACAGGAAGAAUAAACUCUUUCAAGAGUAGUGCUAUAAAGGGAAGCCAAAAACAGGGGACUGGAGGCGGGCACGGGUCAAGGCACUUUUUUGGGUUUUUUCCCCCCAAGACAGGAUAUCCUCUGAUGUAUCCGUAUGCUGUGAAUGAUCUGUCGAGAGGAAAGCUGUUAAUGUAGGAGGACACUUGCAGAAGGAAUCUGCACCCCCACUCCACCUUUUUAUAGCAGCUUUGCACCGCACCUCGUGCCUCCCGCUCCCAAGACUUUCUGAAGUGGGCAGGGGAGACUCCUCUCUUCCCCUGAGCAAACAUGCAUUUCUAGCCGCGGCUCGCCCCACACUGAAAGACAGGAAGGGCCACUACCACCUCCAUCAGCUGAGGAACAAGAAAUACAGGCCUCGCCGUCCGUUACCGAGAUAACCACAAGAGGAAUGAAGAUAAGGGAAACACAUUAUGAGGAAGAAGGAAAGAGGAGGAAGUAGACCAAACCCUUAUCGCCUGUGCUACCUCAAGUUCUGGUCCACGUGCACGUAUUUCUGAUAGGCUUCUGUUAAAGAAAAAACUACCAGAGAAAGGGGAAAGCCUUCAAUGUUUUCCCACUCUACUCACAAUAAAGACCUAGAUCAUCCUUUGGCCAGCUGGCAGGUCUGUUCCAGGCAGCAAGUACUAAAACUUUGCUGACAACUCUGAACACGUGUUCAAGGAGUACAAUCUCUAGCAGACCAAUUCAAAGACACUGCAGCUGGAACAUUUAAAAAAGAUGGUGAUUAAGCGGAGAAACUAGAUAGAAGAACAAGAGGAUGUACGUUUAAGGACACCAGACUCCUGACUGACAGUCAGCUGGCGGGAUGGCUGACUGGUUUCCCGGAACAAGUUUAAAGCCUAUUAAAAUUCAUUCGAAAAUUA